UACAGAGGCCCCAAGCAUUAUCCGGAAUCACUGGGCGUAAAGGGUGUCUAGGCGGUUGUAUUAGUCGUUUGUUAAAUCCGAGGGCUCAACCUUCGGCUCGCAAGCGAAACGGUACAACUAGAAGACGUAAGAGGUACAUGGAACUCAUGGAGUAGGGGUGAAAUCCGUUGAUAUCAUGGGGAACACCAAAAGCGAAGGCAGUGUACUGGUACGUUCUUGACGCUCAAACACGAAAGCCAGGGUAGCGAACGGG
rnacentral:rRNA from 1 species